UCCCUGGCAGUCCAGUGGUUAGAACUCUGGGCUCCCACACCAGAGGGCACAGGUUUGAUCCCUGGUCAAGGAA
rnacentral:tRNA from 1 species